CGCAAUCCAACCAUUCCAGGAAAUUGGAUUUCCAAUAUUUCUUUUAUGUUGCCGUAGUAGACAUCGUCACCAGAAGAAGAUGAAACACCAGCAUCAUAUGUUGUCUUAGAAUGACCUUUUCUUGUGAAUGCAUAUCCUCGCGUAUAAAAUUUAGGAUAUGAUUUGACCACAUAGUUUGGUCCCUGCACAAAUUCGCGUAUCCAAUCAUCGAACACAAGACCUCUGGCCAAACCAUCAUUCAC
rnacentral:lncRNA from 1 species